CAUCAGUCGCCGCGGUAAUACGUAGGGUGCAAGCGUUAAUCGGAAUUACUGGGCGUAAAGCGUGCGCAGGCGGUUAUAUAAGACAGAUGUGAAAUCCCCGGGCUCAACCUGGGAACUGCAUUUGUGACUGUAUAGCUAGAGUACGGCAGAGGGGGAUGGAAUUCCGCGUGUAGCAGUGAAAUGCGUAGAUAUGCGGAGGAACACCGAUGGCGAAGGCAAUCCCCUGGGCCUGUACUGACGCUCAUGCACGAAAGCGUGGGGAGCAAACAGGAUUAGAUACCCCCGUAGUCCCUGUCUCUUAUAC
rnacentral:rRNA from 1 species